rnacentral:rRNA from 1 species
AUUGAACGCUGGCGGCAGGCCUAACACAUGCAAGUCGAACGGAGCGGCGGACGGGUGAGUAAUGCCUAGGAAUCUGACUGGUAGUGGGGGAUAACGUCCGGAAACGGGCGCUAAUACCGCAUACUAUCAGAUGAGCCUAGGUCGGAGUAGCAAGUUGGUGGGGUAAAGGCCUAGCAUGGCGACGGUCCGUAGCUGGUCUGAGAGGAUGAUCAGUCACACUGUAACUGAGACACGGUCCAGACUCCUACGGGAGGCAGCAGUGGGGAAUAUUGGACAAUGGGCGAAAGCCUGAUCCAGCCAUGCCGCGUGUGUGAAGAAGGCCUUCGGAUUGUAAAGCACUUUAAGUUGGGAGGCGUUACCAACAGAAUAAGCACCGGCUAACUUCGUGCCAGCAGCCGCGGUAAUAC